rnacentral:misc_RNA from 1 species
CGCACCUUGCGCCCGUUGGUAUUCCGAUGGGCAUGCCUGUUUGAGUGUCUUGAAACCAUCAAUCCUCUUCGGUUUUGCGACCGUACGGUUGGAAUUGGGGGUCUUUUGCUGGCGAGAGUCGGCUCCCCUUAAAUGCAUCGGUUUGGUAGCCCUUGGCUUAUGCGUCGAACCAGUAAGCGUUGCAUUCACCUCGCUGAGCGUUGUCUGACUGCGGCCUCGGGCGUCGUCCUCACCACGACUUAGCCUCUGGAGUGGCGGUCUACUCAUUGCACCCUUGACCUCAAAUCAGGUAGGACUACCCGCUGAACUUAA